UCAAACACUUUAAUUUUGUUUUCAGAAGGUAACCCUACUGAGAAGUGAAAACCCUUUCACUCAUGAUGUAUGCGAGAACCCUCGAACACCCUUCAUCACUAAGAACUCAUCACUGAGAACCCUCUCUCCCAGCCUUCUAUCGCACCCUCUAUCACAAGCUUCCUCCUCAGAUUCGCAACCCUCGCACCCGCUCUCGCAACCCUCCAUCAAAGCUGCCUCUGUCGGCGCGCCCUCCGUCAGCAUGCCCUCUGUCAGCGCGCCCUCCAUUGGUGCGCCCUCCCUCGGCAAUCACUCUAUCUCGCAAACCCUCUCACUAUCUUUGUUGCCUCUCUCUCUCGCUCUUCCCUCAAUCGUCGCUGCCUCUCCCUUAAUCGGUGGUCAACCCUCACCAUAAACACUACAAGGGCAUUAAAGGUGAAAACAAGAAUUCAAAGAAAUCGCUGAAGAUGUGGUUAUUGAGAAUGAAUUUGAGAAAGAGCUACUUGCUGAUGUGAUUCCUCCAAGUGAUAUUGGGGUCACUUUUGAUGAUAUUGGGGUUUUAGAAAAUGUGAAGGACACCUUGAAGGAGUUGGUCAUGCUUCCUCUACGGAGACCUGAACUUUUUCGCAAAGGACAGUUGGCUAAGGUGGGGACUUCUAUCUUUUCUGUCUUUUCUCUAGCCAGCAAGAUUGCCCCAAGUGUUAUUUUUGUCGAUGAGGUCGACAGUAUGUUAGGAAGACGUGAAACUCCUGGCAAACAUGAGACUAUGCGUAAAUGAAGAAUGAGUUCAUGAUGAAUUGGGAUGGUCUUCAAACAAAAGAUAAAGAGCGUGUAUUUGUUCUCGCUGCUACAAAUAGGCCCUUUAAUCUUGAUGAGGCUGUUAUUAGGGGGCUUCUAAGAAGGUAAAAUAUGGCAAGAAAACCAACACUUGCAUUGAGAGUUAUACUUGUGGAAGGGUCACAGCAUUCGCUAAAAUAGCCGACGCAAUGAAGGCUGCAGAUGGUGUAAAAAUGGGUGCAGCUACGGCUGCAAUGAUAGUAGUAGCAACUGCAGCUGUGAUAGUAGUAGCUACGACUGCAAUGAUCAAAACAAUGAACAAAAGAUGCUCCUCAACAGUCUCCAAAAUAAUGUAUCUUUAUCUGUUUUUAGAUUUCUUUAUGUAGAUUAGUUGAAUGUUUUCUGAGUUUUAUGGUAACAACGAGAGCCAUUUGCGGAUUGUGAUAUUGAGAGAUGGUGAAUAUAAUGACCACUUCAAAUGUUCUGUUAGAUAUAGAAUCAUGAAGUCUUAGAUGAAGCUGUACACUCAACUGAGUAGUGUGUUUUAGAUAUUGUAAAUUUUAUUUUGCAAAUGACUUUGUAGUGAAUUUAUUUUCUUUUUUUUUUUUCAAUUUUCCUG